GAUGAACGCUGGCGGCGUGCCUAAUACAUGCAAGUCGAGCGAACAGACGAGGAGCUUGCUCCUCUGACGUUAGUGGCGGACGGGUGAGUAACACGUGGAUAACCUACCUAUAAGACUGGGAUAACUUCGGGAAACCGGAGCUAAUACCGGAUAAUAUAUUGAACCGCAUGGUUCAAUAGUGAAAGACGGUUUUGCUGUCACUUAUAGAUGGAUCCGCGCCGCAUUAGCUAGUUGGUAAGGUAACGGCUUACCAAGGCAACGAUGCGUAGCCGACCUGAGAGGGUGAUCGGCCGCACUGGAACUGAGACACGGUCCAGACUCCUACGGGAGGCAGCAGUAGGGAAUCUUCCGCAAUGGGCGAAAGCCUGACGGAGCAACGCCGCGUGAGUGAUGAAGGUCUUCGGAUCGUAAAACUCUGUUAUUAGGGAAGAACAAAUGUGUAAGUAACUAUGCACGUCUUGACGGUACCUAAUCAGAAAGCCACGGCUAACUACGUG
rnacentral:rRNA from 1 species